UGAAAAGAUAGAGAGAAAAUAUAAUUUUUCAAUAAAAUAAAAAGUAACAAAGCCUAAAUCUAAAAACCCACAACAUACCCACUCCAUUUGCCUCCAGAAAUUUUCACCAAAAUUUAUUCCUGCUUUUCGGCUUAAUUUCAUCAUCGAUUGCUACCAAAACCUAAUUAAUUCAAUUUGCUUACCCUAAAAAUUUCUUGUUAAUCCCACGGUUGCAAUCCCAAUCUCUUCAUUUGCCAUAAUAUUGAUUUUUGGUUAAUAAAUUUCGGCUUAAUCUACUACAGAUUUUGUGUUCUUCUUCUGGCGCUUUUCAAGGUAUGCCUAUCAGCUUUGAUUUAUUCUUUAAUUAAUGUUUCAAUUUUGUUUAAUUAGAUCUGGUGUUUCUAUUGAUGUUUCUGAAGAAUUUGCUUAAUAUAAACCAUUGGAUUUAUAUGCAAGUUUUAAUCUUUAAUUAAUUAUUCAACUAUUUAUUUGCUCAAACAGAAAUUUUGCAUUUUGAUUGAUGCUUGAUCGGUAUAGUUUUAAUCAGUCUUUUCCCCAUUUUGAACUGAAUGCAAUCAUUGGGAUUGUGAAGUUUUUAUGGUAAUUUUAGUCAACUUCUUUGAAAAAAACAAAAGUGGAAUUAACUACAAAGAAAUUCAGUUUUGUUGGGGCGUGAAAUUGGAAUUGUAGAAGAUUUAUUUUAAUAUUUGAUUUGAUUUUAAUUUCAAGGUGAUGAAUUCCAUCCCUUGAUCUGCCUUUAAUUCAUUUAUUUGUAAUUUACAAAUACUUAUAUAUGAUACAAGCAAGGGCAAACCCACCUUUGAUACCAUUCUCUUGAUUUUGGAAGGAAAUGAAAUAUAAUAUAUCCAGGCAGGAUCGUUCAUCUUAUUUAGAAAUUGACUACCCACAUCAUAAUAUGCUUUUAGAAAAAAAAAAAAAAAAAAGAUUUUUAAAUUGGGUGAAUGAAAUUGAUUAGAUUUAGCUUCGGGUCGAUUCAAUUUUGGUUGCUGGUUCUGAAUUGAUUCGAAGUGCCUCCUUUUAAAGUGCAUAUUAUUUAUAAUAGUUCCUUUAGGUGGUAAAUUAUGGUGGAUGACAUGUUACAUCUAAACAUUGUCCGAUCUAUUUCAUUGCUUAUUGUUUUUAAAUAUAUCAUUGUAAAAACUAUCUUUCUUUCUUUGUAUUUUGAAUCAUUAAUGAUGAAGUAUUAUGUUCUCAUGUUUAUUUUCGCCUAAUUUUUUAUUUUAUUGUUUUUCAAUAGAGUAGACAAUUUUGAUUAUUAGUUAAAAUAUCUUGUAGGGGUUGUACAAAUAGUUUUAGAUAACAGAGUUUCUUUCAAUUGAAAUUGCAAUAAGGUAAGUUCGUAAAUUCAAGUACUCCAUCUUCAAGUUGUUUGACAGUAUAAAAUCUUUAAUGAUAUUAUAAACAGUUGUUCUAGGUAUGAAGCCUAGGCGUCAAAUUCGUGGGUUGGGAGAUGGUCGCCUUUGAGACAAAGGGGCAUCAUCUUCUAUUGUACUGAGUUUGGAUAAGGAGUUAGAAGCAGAACGUGCUGCUCGAAAGGCUCGAGUGAAGAUGGAGCAAAGGAUGCAGAAAAAGCUGAAGUUUGUUGAGCAACAAUUUAAUUUUACAUUGCAGUCUUGGCAUCAUUCUAUACACCAGCUAUGUGGUAAAGCUCCUGCUUCAGUGUACCAUCAUUUACACCAUUGUCAAUACAGAAUAAUGCUAAUAAGGAAGAUGAUGCAAUUGAAUACGAAGGGAAUAACUUUGUCAAAAAUCAGCUACAUAUCUAAUUUAUGAGGAUGAAGAGUUAUAUUUUAAGGUGCAUAAUAAUAGAUGCAGAGCAUAUUGGUCUUAAAUGUAGACGUAACCAUAUUUGGUGAAUGAUUUUUAUCUUUAUUUUGGUGAAAUAUUUUGGAUUUAAUUAAGGUUACAUUGAUUCACACUACA
rnacentral:lncRNA from 1 species